AGUGAACGCUGGCGGCGUGCCUAAUACAUGCAAGUCGAACGAAGUGGCGCGCGGGUGAGUAAUAUAUAGUUAAUCUGCCCUCUACAGAGGAACAACAGCUGGAAACUACUGCUAAUACCUCAUAGUGUAGGAUGAGACUAUAUCGUAUCAGCUAGUUGGUAAGGUAAUGGCUUACCACGGCUAUGACGCGUAACUGGUCUGAGAGGAUGAUCAGUCAAAUUGGAACUGAGACACGGUCGGAAACCCUACGGGAGGGAGCAAGAAGGGAUAUUGCGCAAUGGGGGAAAACAUGACGGAGCAACGGCGCGUGGAGGAUGACACGUUGCGGAGCGUAAACUCCUUUUAUCAGGAAAGCGGUACCUGAUGAAUAAGCACCGGCUAACGCCGUGCCAGCAGCCGCGGUAAUUC
rnacentral:rRNA from 1 species